rnacentral:rRNA from 1 species
CCAGACUCCUACGGGAGGCAGCAGUGAGGAAUAUUGGUCAAUGGCCGAGAGGCUGAACCAGCCAAGUCGCGUGAGGGAUGACGGCCCUACGGGUUGUAAACCUCUUUUGUCGGGGAGCAAAGAGAGUCACGUGUGGCUCAUUGAGAGUACCCGAAGAAAAAGCAUCGGCUAACUCCGUGCCAGCAGCCGCGGUAAUACGGAGGAUGCGAGCGUUAUCCGGAUUUAUUGGGUUUAAAGGGUGCGUAGGCGGGAUGCCAAGUCAGCGGUAAAAAUGCGGUGCUCAACGCCGUCGAGCCGUUGAAACUGGCGUUCUUGAGUGGGCGAGAAGUAUGCGGAAUGCGUGGUGUAGCGGUGAAAUGCAUAGAUAUCACGCAGAACUCCGAUUGCGAAGGCAGCAUACCGGCGCCCUACUGACGCUGAGGCACGAAAGCGUGGGUAUCGAACAGGAUUAGAUACCCCUGUA